GUACAUACUCCAUACCGCUACAUCAUAUAAAGUAGAGAGGUUAUUUUUAAUAGACCCCCGACUUAUGAUAAAUAACAUUAUAACAAAUAUGAAAACAUAAAAAGAAACAUAAAUGAGUAAAAAUGAACAAUAAUUAACAUGUCAACAGUACCAGAAUAUAAUUUUAUGACAUGUGUAUUAAUAUCCACUUGUACAACAAGGAAAGCAUUUAAGCAAACCAAAUUCAACCCAUCGAAUAACAUACACGAACAAACAAUAGAAGCAACAUGAUAAAAAGUUUAACAAGCAUCAUAAUUGUUCAGAACUUUGGAACGUGUAUCACAAACCUCACAUUUCUAGGGAAAAAGAAGAAAUUCAAGAGGAAGCAUCAAAUCUCAGAAUAGAACACAUUAAGAUAAAAAAAAAAUAGGCUAAAGUGUUUAUAUUUUAACCAGAAAUUUAAUGUUUAGUGAAGGACAUAAAUUGAGGGGGGGGGGGGGGGUUAAAUUACACAUUAGUUAAAAAUAUUAAUUAUUAAAAUAUUUAAUGUAUUAAUUAUUGGCAAGUAUGAUCAAGAUUACCUAAAUGUUCUUCUUAUACUGAAUGAUUAAAUUAGGAUUUGGAGGGAAAAUUAGGAUUUCAGAAGGGAAAAUUAGGGUUUUGGUGGAAAAAAUUAACGGCUAAAUAAGCGUAGGGGUUAAGGGAUUACAUUGUCUAUUUACACUGUUUGGACUUUUUUUGAACACAUGGUUUUGGACGUUCUGCUUUUUCCUUUUUUUUUUUUCUUAAUUUUUAUGUAUUUGGGGUUCUCCCUUUUUGUUCAAAGAUUAGAGCUUUAAUCCCUUUUAUUAGUUUUCCUAAGAUGUUCUUGGAGUGCAAAAAAGGAAAACCAAAAAAUAAGUGAGGAGAAUAUUGUUCUUCCAUUUGGGAUUCUUCCUUCCUUUUUGUUCAUAGAGCUUUAAGCUCUUUUAUCAGUUUUACACCUUUUUUUUUUGAGGUAGAAGAUAGUCUUGGAAAGUGUGCAACUUCAGUUUGAUGGAGGGAAUUUUUUGAAAAAUUUGGUGUUUUGGUCAAAUGGAUAUGCUGGAGCUAGAGGCUUAUGAGUGAGUAUGUAAGAUCUAAAAAUGUGAGAGAUCAUAUUUUGUUAUGUUCUGUUUGGCAAUGAGAUCUCACUGGCUAUUUGCCUUUCAUGUUGAUUGAGUUGACAUAAAUAUAUAAUUAUGUUAGGGUGUUUGUUUCUGGGAUUCUUGAUUUUAUUGUUAAUCGUAUCUGUUAUAGCUACCGAUAAUGAGUUUUCUAACUGUAACUGUGAUGAAGAGGGAAUUUGGAGCAUACAUACCAUUCUCGAGUGUCAAAAAGUGAGUGCUUUCUUGAUUGCAAUUGCUUAUUUUUCGAUACCUCUAGAGUUGCUUUACUUUAUUAGUUGCUCUGAUGUUCCAUUCAAAUGGGUACUUGUUCAAUUCAUUGCAUUCACAGUGCUUUGUGGAUUGACUCACUUGCUUAAUGGAUGGACUUAUAGUGGUCAUCGUUCUUUCCAAUUGAUAAUGUCCUUAACCAUAAUGAAAAUCCUAAACCGCUCUUGUGUCGUGUGCAACUGCAAUCACCCUCUUGACUUUGUUUCCUAUGCUACUUAAAAUUAAGGUUAGAGAACUAUUUUUGGCUCAAAAUGUGUUGGACCUUGAUCAAGAGGUUGGUAUGAUGAAGAAACAGAAAGAAGUGUAUACACAUGUCCGAAUGCUGAUACGUGAAAUUAGGAAGUCGCUUGAUAAGCAGACUAUAUUGUACACUACUUUAGUUGAGCUUUCAAAGACCUUGAAUCUGCAGAAUUGUGCUGUUUGGAUGCCAAAUGAGGAUAGGUCAUUUAUGAACUUGAUACACGGGUUAAGCCCCAGUUCUGCUGUAGAAUACCAUCGUUCACUUCCGAUUGAUGAUCUGUAUGUGUUGGAGAUAACAAAGAAUGAAGGAGUGAGGAUUUAAGGCAAGAUUCGGUUCUUGCUGUUGCGAGUAGUGGAGUUCCUGUUGAGCCAUGUACUGUUGUAGAAACGAAGAACAGUUUACUGCAACAGGCUAAGGAGAAUGCCGUGAAGGCAAGCCAGGCGAGGAAUUUGUUUCAGAAGGUAAUGAACAAUGGAAUGAGACGGCCAAUGCACUCGAUUUGGGUUUUCUUUCCAUACUGCAAGAUGAUAACACAAUCUCUAAUCAGAGGAUUAUUAUCGACACGAUGGUAAGAACGAGCUCCGUUCUGUCAAAUUUUAUAGAUGAUGCUAUGGAUGUACCCGACAAAGAUGAAGGGAGAUUCCCAAUAGAAAUGAUGUAGUUUCAGCUGCAUUGAAUGAUCAGAGAGGCUUCUUGUCUUGUCAAGUGCCUGUGCGUUUAUAAGGGCUUUGUCUUUUCCACGAAGGUACCUUAUCUGGUUAUGGGUGAUGAAAAGAGAGCGUUUCAGGUUAUACUUCAUACGGUGGGGCAUCUAUUGGAUAUCAAAUCCGGAGGGGGCUCCGUUGUAUUCAAGGUUAUUCUGGAGAGUGGAACCGAUGUAGCGAAUGAUAGGAUUCUGGGAUCAAGAAGACACAACUUAUUUGAUGAAUAUGUUACCAUAAACUUUGAAAUUAAAGUUAGUCUUGAAGGUUCUCAAACAGAUAGCUCGAGCUCAACUAGUCACGUCGGUGGAAGGAGGUAUAAUAGCAAAGAGUUAAAGGAAGGCAUGAGUUUGCACAUGUGCAAAAAGCUUGUUCAGGUGAGCAUACUAUGGUUCUGUGUUUUGAAUUACUUCUUUAUUUACUGAAAUUAACUUUACGCCACUAGAGCUACUUAACCUUACAAGAUUUAUGCUCAUGACAUCAUGAUUGUGUUAGUCAUUUGGAUUUACGUUGGCAUAUAUACUCUUGAAUUCAACCAUAUACAGUGAUUAAGGAGUUAUUCUGACUUCCAUGAAUAUUUGUUAUUGGUUUAUGUCACAUCAUAAUGUAACUUGAAUUGUUUGACGAAUUAGCAGAAAAAGUGCAAACAACUGAAACAACUAUAAAACUGGUCCAACAUUUGGAACAUUCCAAAAUGGUAAGUGUGUUGUCUGAAAUAGUGCGGGGUUGGUUGGGGUAUGUUUUUGGGCAACUCUAUCUUGAUAGGUGCUAACAAAGGCUUAUGUUUCUGAAGAGUGGUUGAAUGUGAAGGAUAGAACUAUUUAUCCCUUGAGGUCUAGGUUCAGUAAGAAAUAUCGACUAGAUAUAUGAAGAAAAACUGAAGAAUUUUUGACCGAUUAAUCAAUAAGAAAUACCAACUAGGUAUUAACUAGGUUUAUAAUUUUUUUCUUUAAUGACUGAUAUAUCUCUUUUGCUGAUUAUAUCUAUUGUUUAGUGCCUCUUUAGUUUUUUUUCUUGUGGUGAGGUCACCCAAUUCAGAUGGUUUGAAAGGGAAAAGAAAAAGGAUCUUACAAAUGGAUAUAUCAGAACUUGUCUAGUAAGUACCAUAAGAAGAUUCUGAGAAAGAAAUCCGGUAAGCAGAAAAUUUAGCCAUUAUUUGGAUGGUGAUGAUAUUUUGCUCAUUACAAAAAGACUUUCAUCUACUAAUACGUCCCUCCAAAACAGAGUUUUUUUCAGCAUGGAUCGGUGAAAAUGUUCUUUGAAAGAAAUUUUGUUCAAGCAAAUGGGGAGAUCUGACUUUCCCGAAGCUCGUUCCUUGAGAAAAAAUUACACAGAAACUGCUUUUCUACCACCGGUUGUUAUUCUAAACAUGCUGUUGUUAACAGUGAGAUGGUUUUGCUAUUGGAGGAAACAUCAAUUUUUGUAUCACAAAUUCGUCGUCUUGUUCACUCACCAAUCUUUCAAUCAGAUGCUCCUUGAUUACGACGACCUGAUGAAGAUUCCCUUUUUCAAGGCUCGCACAGCAGACUUAAAUGGUCAAGUGGAGAAGCUAAGGACAUUGGUUGUCUGGCUGCUGUUGAUGUGUGGAAGAAUGCUGUUGCCUCCAGAUUGCUGGUUCUGGUUUGUAUCCAGGAUGUUGGUGUCGUGAAGGCCGGGAAAUGUUGUAUGUCCUCCUUGCUCGCCAGGCUGAGGGUCGAUCAUAUCAGGGUCGACAUAAUCGUACAGGUUGACUAUUUCAACUGAUCUGGUUGUAUUCUGUGUUGGCGUUCCAUGGGGAAAGGAAAAGGAAGUAUCAAGUCCUGCAGAUGUCGUGCCCUGUGAUGGCGAAAAAUUAGCCCCUGCCACUCCUCCAGUCGCAAAAGAAGUAUCAGUUCGUGUUAGUCCAACCGGAAAGGACUCUCCAGUUCCUCUUCCUCCUCCAGGAGUGUUUACUCUAACCCCCCUGUUUCCUAUGUAGUUUGUCUGCGUUCCUCCACCCGGAAAGGGCUCAUCAAUUCCUCCUCCUCCUCCAGGAGUGUUUGUUCUAACUCCCCUGUUUCCUCUGUAGUUUGUCUGCGUUCCUCCACCCGGAAAGGGCUCAUCAAUUCCUCCUCCUCCUCCUCCAGGAGUGUUUACUCUAGCUGGUUCUCUGACAUUUAAAUCAAAACGAAGUUACUCUUUUUACAACCCAACAAAAAAAAGAAAAAGAAAGAACACAAUGCCAACUACUCAAAUUCCAGUUAGCAGGCAAAAACUACAACUUAUACCCCUAAGUCCGUCAAUAUCUUGGCACACAGAAAUCCAAGAAAAAGAUUGCAAAAAGAAGACUUCUUAAUCAAGAUGAACCCACUGAAAUCCACUAAAAGAAGAGUUCUUAAUCAAGAUUAUCCAACUACUAGAAUACCAGUUAAAUACUUUAACACAGAUUUCUUAAUCAAACAGACAAAUGCAAGAAAAGAAAUUGAUUAAGACUACCUCAUAAAAAAUCUGUUGACUUCCAUCAGAUGCUCUAUCUGUUGUUGGUAUUGCCUUCUCUCUUCUAACAUCCGAUCUAUUCCGAUCAGCAUCACUCGUUUAUGUUCAGCCAAUCUAUGGAAAUGCUGCCUGCAUACCCUCGGAUCCCUGUACGUUAAGAUCACCCUCCGCAUCUGUCGAACCCCCAGUAGACCUCUGAUUUCGUUGUACCUUUCACUGUCUUGAAAUGGAAAAUGGGGGGUGAAUAUACACCCAGAACAGCUCUUCCUAUCUGGGUGGUUGAUACACGCACCGCACCUCACAGUCUGAAAUCGGUUAUUUCUUUGCCUAGGAACCCUGGACUGGUUUGACGCAGAUGGUACAGAAGAACCUUCAUUAGUCGUAUUUGCCAUUGGUCGUGUGCGGCGUGCAUCCGCCAUGAAAGAAUCUUCCAUGCUUGAAUAUGUUCACAACUGCUUGUUUCUUUAAUCCUUUGGCGCACUUUUCUCAAUUCAAUUGAAGAAAGCAGUUACCUGUUAUAGUUAGUUAACUACUUUAUAUAUAGUAGCUCAUUAUUGUAACUAUUACCGUUAAUUUGAAAAUGAGUUCUUUUUUUUCCACUUUAAA